rnacentral:tRNA from 1 species
GCCUGGCUGGCUCAGUCUGUAGAGCAUGUGACUCUUGAUCUCGAGGUUGUGAGUUCAAGCCCCAUGCUGGGCU